rnacentral:rRNA from 1 species
UGCGUAGGCGGGCUAAUAAGUCAGUGGUGUAAUCUUCCGGCUCAACCGGGAACCUGCCAUUGAUACUGUUAGUCUUGAGUUCGGCUGAGGUAGGCGGAAUGUGUAAUGUAGCGGUGAAAUGCUUAGAUAUUACACAGAACACCAAUUGCGUAGGCAGCUUACUAGACCGACACUGACGCUGAGGCACGAAAGCGUGGGGAGCGAACAGGAUUAGAUACCCUGGUAGUCC